GACCUGAUUGUGUAGUCGGUAACACACUUGCUCAAGUUGUCGUGUUAGCCUCGAUAGCCUGUGCGCAGGGGUCCCCGGUUCGAAUCCGGGUCAGGUCA